UACGGGGGGGGGCAAGCGUUGUUCGGAAUUACUGGGCGUAAAGGGCUCGUAGGCGGCCAACUAAGUCAGACGUGAAAUCCCUCGGCUUAACCGGGGAACUGCAUCUGAUACUGGAUGGCUUGAGUUCGGGGAGAGGGAUGCGGAAUUCCAGGUGUAGCGGUGAAAUGCGUAGAUAUCAGGAGGAACACCCGUGGUGCAGACGGCUUGCUGGACCUCCCACUGACGCUGAGGCACGAAAGCGUGGGGAGCAAACAGG
rnacentral:rRNA from 1 species